ACACAGGAUGUAGAAGUAUCGUUGCUUUAAAGUGUACGAUCUUGUGAAGAGAGUCCAGCCUUCUGGGGAGGAGUUUUCGAGGAGGAAGGCACUGUGCAGCUCAUAAAUAUCCCAGACUGAGAUCGCUGCUUUUAUCCCGUCUGCUUGUGAGGCAGUUCGUAGAGUGCAGCAUUCCUGUUCAUCUUUGAGAAGAAGCAUGGCUGACAGGUCCCUUGGGUGUUUAUUGGAGAAGACUUCUUUGGUGGAUGUUCACGGCUGCAAGAUUUACACGGACAACUCCCAGGAAUGCUAUGUAAAAUUGGUGCUCUACAGUAGCAGAAGGGAGAAAGAUGACCACCAGCUACAACAAAUGAGGACAUUUUGACACACGUAUUUCCUGGAACAACUUCCUUUGGAACAACUUCCUUCUAACUUCCUACUGUGGCAUCAGAAGAAUCUUUUGGGGGGGAAUGCAAUUUCUUUUGAUUUCAUUGAUAAGUGCUUCAAUGUGCUACAUUUCUUCAUCCUUUCUGUAAUGCUGGAAAGAAGUCUAGAAUGAGAUCUAUCUCGGCCAAAUAAAAUACGCUUGCACUCAG